AGCCUCACAGGAUCACACCUGGAGAGUUUCUAGUACUCUACCAUUUACGACUACAGGAGGGAGAGUCAGGCAGGGGCCUACUCAUUCCAUUCCUGGCUUGGGCAGUGGCUAGCGAGUGGAAGGCCAUCUGCUACAAGU